GUGUUCACUUCGGCAGCGCAUACACUAAAAUUGGAAUGACACAGAGAUGAUUAGCCUGGCCCCUGCUCAAGGAUGACGUGCAAAUUCAUGAAAUGUUCAAUAUUUUU